rnacentral:rRNA from 1 species
AGGAAUUGGCGGGGGAGCACCACAACAGGUGGAGCCUGCGGUUUAAUCGGACUCAACGCCGGGAAACUCACCAGUUAAGACAGCUGAAUGAUAGUCGGGCUGAAGACUCUACUUGACUAGCUGAGAGGAGGUGCAUGGCCGUCGUCAGUUCGUACUGUGAAGCAUCCUGUUAAGUCAGGCAACGAGCGAGACCCACGCCAACAGUUGCCAGCUCGUCCUCCGGGAUGGUGGGGACACUGUUGGGACCGCCUCUGCUAAAGAGGAGGAAGGAAUGGGCAACGGUAGGUCAGCAUGCCCCGAAUUAACUGGGCUACACGCGGGCUACAAUGGGUGGGACAAUGGGUAUCGACACCGAAAGGUGAAGGCAAUCUCCUAAACCCAUCCUUAGUUCGGAUUGUGGGUUGCAACUCACCCACAUGAAGCUGGAAUCUGUAGUAAUCGUGUCUCAAAAUGGCACGGUGAAUAUGUCCCUGCUCCUUGCACACACCGCCCGUC